CCGACCGCACCGGGUGCCCCCGGUGCGGCCAGCGCUUCAACGAGUUCCGUAGGUGAACCUGCGGAAGGAUCAUU
rnacentral:rRNA from 1 species